GCGGGAAUCCCUGUGGCUGUGCGGUCCUGGCCCCCUCCCCAGAAGCUGGAUGCAAAGCCAUCACCUCGCGUUCUGGCCGCCGGGGCCUGCUCUGGCGUCUACGAGACAAGCAGCUGCGCCUCGGCCUGUUUGAGAUCAGCCCGGGACAUGAGCUGCACCGGCUGACGUGUAUGAUGCAGGCAGGGCUCUGGGCUGCCACCCAGGUCUCCAUGGACCACCCACCCAGGGGGCUGCCCACUGAGGACGACUUCUCCGAGGUCCUGACCCAGGUUCACAAGGGCUUUGAGCUGGGCACCCUGGCUGGCCCUGCCUUCGCCUGGCUGCGCCACUCCCUAGGCCUGGCCGAGGAGGACUAUCAGGCCGCCCUGGGGCCCGGGGGCCCCUACCUGCAGUUCCUCAGCACCUCCAAGAGCAACGCCAGCUUCUUCCUGUCCCACGACCAGCGCUUCUUCCUGAAGACCCAGCGGCGCAGGGAGGUGCGGGCGCUGCUCGCCCACCUGCCCCGCUACCUGCAGCACCUGCAGCGGCACCCACACUCGCUCCUGGCACGGUUGCUGGGAGUGCACAGCCUGCGGGUGGCCCGGGGCAAGAAGAAAUACUUCAUCAUCAUGCAGAGCGUUUUCUACCCCGCCGGCCGCAUCGCCGAGAGGUAUGACAUCAAGGGCUGCGAGGUGAGCCGCUGGGUGGAGCCGGCCCCUGAGGGCAGCCCCCUGGUCUUGGUGCUGAAGGACCUCAACUUUCAGGGCAAGACCAUCGACCUGGGGCCCCAGCGGAGCUGGCUCCUCCGGCAGAUGGAGCUGGACACCGCCUUCCUCCGGGACCUCAACCUGCUGGACUACAGCCUCCUGAUGGCCUCCCAGCACCUGCAGGAGGACGAGAGGGGCCCGGGCAGCAGCCUCGUCUUCCGCACAGCCAGGUCUGUGCAAGGGGUACAGAGCCUGGAUGAGCCGGGAGCGCAGAACCUUCGGCUGCUGCCUGAUGGCCCCAACGCCCUUCACAUCUUGGACGGCCCGGAGCAACGCUAUUUCCUGGGCCUUGUGGACCUCGCCACCGUCUACGGGCUCCGCAAGCGACUGGAGUACCUGUGGAAGGCGCUGCGCUACCCCAACCGGGCCUUCUCCACCGUCAGCCCGGCUCUCUACGCCCGUCGCCUCUGCCAGUGGGUGGAGGCGCACACCGAGUGACCGGCGCGGGCCGCGCUCUCCCCAUCUGGACAAUGGGCACAGGCCCGGAAUGCAUGUGCCAGCUUGGUCGGGCUCCCCCAGCCUGCUGUUCCUCCAGCGGGCCUCCAGAGGGCAGCAUUCUCCAACUAAUAUGACAACCUUAUUUAAUGGUGAUGCUGUGCCUGGCUGGUAUUUUGCCAGGGACUCGCCAUAUUAGCUCAUUUUAUCCUCAAAAAAAAAAAAAAAUGCUAUUAUUCUCUUUUCACAGACCAUGAGAUGGAGGUUCAUGGGGUGAAGGGACUGAGCAAGAUCACUCAGCAGUAAAUGCUGGAACCAGGACUCGACUGUGCCUUUUGGACUCAGGAGCCUGUAUUCUUACCAGCUCCCACAGCCCUGUCCUCAUGCUCUCAGAAACGGGGGAGGCUGAAGGCUCCAGCCCAGGCCCUUUGUCGUACAGAUGGGGAAACCGAGGCCCAGAGAUUUUAAGGGGCGUAUGCACGGGAGACUCCAGCCGGCCUCUGACCUCAGUCCAAUCCGACCAUGCCCAAGCCGGCCUUUCCUCUAAUGCUGCUCUGGGGCCUGACUGUGUGACCAGGGCAAGGUGUUAACCUUCUCUGUGCCUCAGUGGUCUAAUCUGUGAGAUGGAAGGAUGAAAAUGGACCUCAUUAACGCAUUAAAUAUUUAUCAAGCACCUGCUAUGUGACAGGCUGGGCUUUGGGGAUGUGGGAGUGGAGCACAGAUUUCACCUUCACAGAACUCAGUCUGGGGUGGGGGUGGGAGGCGGUGACAAAAGCGGCCUGGUGUAACAAAGCCUUGUGAAGGACCAUGAGGCCAUGGAGCUCAGGGAAGGGGCCCCCACCUCAGUAGUUGAUGGGUGGGGUUGUUUCUAAUCUCUAAACUGAGAUCAGAAGAGUCAACUGUCAGGUGCUGGGAGGGUCGCAGGCUAAGGGCCCAGCAAAGGGCUGGGGUGAGAGAGUGCCUGACAUCCUAUGUAAUAAAAGGGUAAUAUGCAAAUUGACCAGGAA